rnacentral:rRNA from 1 species
AUACGGAGGAUCCGAGCGUUAUCCGGAUUUAUUGGGUUUAAAGGGUGCGCAGGCGGCCAUUUAAGUCAGCGGUUAAAUCGUGGGGCUCAACCCCAUUCUGCCGUUGAUACUGGGUGGCUUGAUUGCGGUCGAGGUUGGCGGAAUUCGUUGUGUAGCGGUGAAAUGCAUAGAUAUGACGAAGAACACCGAUUGCGUAGGCAGCUGACCAGACCGCAAAUGACGCUCAUGCACGAAAGUGCGGGGAUCGAACAGGAUUAGAUACCCUGGUAGUCCGCACAGUAAACGAUGAAUACUCGCUGUUUGCGAUACACUGUAAGCGGCCAAGCGAAAGCGUUAAGUAUUCCACCUGGGGAGUACGCCGGCAACGGUGAAACUCAAAGGAAUUGACGGGG